rnacentral:rRNA from 1 species
GACGAACGCUGGCGGCGUGCUUAACACAUGCAAGUCGAACGGAAAGGCCCUGCUUUUGUGGGGUGCUCGAGUGGCGAACGGGUGAGUAACACGUGAGUAACCUGCCCUUGACUUUGGGAUAACUUCAGGAAACUGGGGCUAAUACCGGAUAGGAGCUCCUGCUGCACGGUGGGGGUUGGAAAGUUUCGGCGGUUGGGGAUGGACUCGCGGCUUAUCAGCUUGUUGGUGGGGUAGUGGCUUACCAAGGCUUUGACGGGUAGCCGGCCUGAGAGGGUGACCGGCCACAUUGGGACUGAGAUACGGCCCAGACUCCUACGGGAGGCAGCAGUGGGGAAUAUUGCACAAUGGGCGGAAGCCUGAUGCAGCAACGCCGCGUGCGGGAUGACGGCCUUCGGGUUGUAAACCGCUUUCGCCUGUGACGAAGCGUGAGUGACGGUAAUGGGUAAAGAGGCACCGGCUAACUACGUG